rnacentral:rRNA from 1 species
GUCCUAGCUGUAAACGUUGGGCACUAGGUGUGGCGGACUCAUUGACGUCUGCCGUGCCGCAGCUAACGCAUUAAGUGCCCCGCCUGGGGAGUACGGUCGCAAGGCUAAAACUCAAAGGAAUUGACGGGAGCCCCGCACAAGCGGCGGAGCAUGCGGCUUAAUUCGAUGCAACCCGAAGAACCUUACCUGGGCUUGACAUCAUGGGAAAUCCCGCAGAGAUGCGGAGUGCGAAAGCGCCCAUGACAGGUGGUGCAUGGCUGUCGU